rnacentral:rRNA from 1 species
GAUGAACGCUGGCGGCGUGCCUAAUACAUGCAAGUCGAACGAGGUGCUUUUGUAGCAAUACGAGAGUAUCCUAGUGGCGAACGGGUGAGUAGCGCGUUGGUGACCUACCCCAAAGUGCGGGAUAACAGUCCGAAAGGACUGCUAAUACCGCAUGUGGUUAUUGGAUUUAGAAACUAAUAACUAAAGGAGCAAUUCGCUUUGGGAGGGACCUGCGUCCCAUCAGCUAGUUGGUGAGGUAAUGGCUCACCAAGGCGACGACGGGUAGGGGACCUGAGAGGGUGACCCCCCACAAUGGAACUGAAACACGGUCCAUACACCUACGGGUGGCAGCAGUAGGGAAUAUUGGGCAAUGGGCGAAAGCCUGACCCAGCAACGCCGCGUGUGUGAUGAAGGCCUUCGGGUCGUAGAGCACUUUUCUGGGAGAUGAGAAAGGACAGUAUCCCAGGAAUAAGUCUCGGCUAACUACGUGCCAGCAGCCGCGGUAAAACGUAGGAGGCGAG